ensembl:lncRNA
UACAGGAAUUUAAAAUACGGAAUAAAAGCAGCGCAUGAAGAGUCGCACGGGAAUACUGCGGCUUUGUUUUGUUUGGUUUGGAAUUAUUAUCCUUUUGUUUUAUUUUCAUAAUACUUGUACAGAUACCUCAGUGGUCGAUGAAUUAAAGAGCCCGCCUUUGACUGCUUAAUACAAUGAGUUUUUAAAUUUCCAUAUUGCUCCAUAUGGGAGUGUUCAUUCAUCAAGUGUUAAAGAAUUAAAGAUCAAUACUGUAAAAUACUGGCUUCAGUACUGUAAAAUAACCAAUGGAUUGCAUAAGUCCCAUGCAGAAUAAGAGAAGACACAGUGGAGAGCUGGAGCAGGGGCACAACCAGUCGCAGGUGUUACCCACCCCAGGACGCGGAGCAGGACAGUAUUGCCCCAGGUGUAUGGCAGGUGAACCUGGCCAUAUAAACCACAUCAAGAGAUAUUGAUCAGCAUUGCCGAUGACUCCUGGAGAAAAUGAAUCGACUGAAUAAACGGCCGAUGCAGAGAAGCAAUCUGCAGUUUAUCCGUACCGUGUGGGUUUUUUCCCGCAUGCUUUGUGCCUUCCAUGCAUUUUCCAACUGGCCUCACCUAACUACAGUAGUACCUAUUAUUGUUUCGUAGCAGUGAGGUUUACUUUACCAAGAACACUCCGGUGGUAAAAAAAAAGAAAAGGCCAUGAAUGAUGGUUUAGAUCACACUUUUAGUGAAGUGUUUUGAGAUUUUUGCACUGUCCAUUUUUCAGUGUUGCAUGGUCUUGAUUUUCAAGAAGGAAUUACUGCUGUAAAUGCAAUGUUAGCAAACUCUGUGAAACUAUAUGCACAAAUAAUCUCUUUUAUACUAUAUUUCUAAAAAAUGUAAUUAUUAAAUCACUUUCAGGAUUAAAUGUCAUUUCACAUGUAGAUUUUAUUUUUAAGAAUGUUUGUGGUUUCACAUUUCAGUUGCAUUCAGUUUGGUAGUUAAAUGUCCAGAAAUCUAUGUCAGGUUCAUUUUAGUAGAUAUAUUGUCACUGUGUUGUUCUUAUCCCAAAUAGAUUUGUCUUUUGUUUUGUUUUCCUUUGUAGAAGACAUUUCAGUGUAUUCACUGAUUUUAACCUAUUUUGUAUCCUUUAUAAACCAAUCCAGAAUAUUUUGCAUAAAAUCUAAUUUGAUUAAAGCUUUUGUGUGUUUUUU